CUUAGUCAAAAGAUUGAGCCAAGAAAACAAUUGUAACAACGGCAUUCAGCAUAGAAAACUGGGCUGUGCUAGAGGGAGAGAAUUCCUGAGAAAGAGAAUGUCCAGAAAGAUCCUCCAAAGUGCUAUCUGUAUCAAGAGUCUGCUCAAAAUCUUUAACAGAAAGUUUGCUGCUGGUCCCAGAUUUCUUUCCUUGAUGGGAGCCACGUUCUGCUUUUUCCUCAUCAAGAUAAUUGAACUACAUAAUUCUUUUGAAAAAGUCUAUGAAGAAGUAGAUGAACGAGACGAUGCAGCAGACUGGGCUCCUGAUGAAUGCUGGGAGGUAACAUCCACAGAGGAAGGAUCAUAGGCAGACUUUCUGUUAGAAUGGU
rnacentral:lncRNA from 1 species